rnacentral:rRNA from 1 species
CCUACGGGAGGCAGCAGUGGGGAAUAUUGGGCAAUGGGCGCAAGCCUGACCCAGCAACGCCGCGUGAAGGAAGAAGGCUUUCGGGUUGUAAACCUCUUUUAUGAGGGACGAAGACAGUGACGGUACCUCAGGAAUAAGCCACGGCUAACUACGUGCCAGCAGCCGCGGUAAUACGUAGGUGGCAAGCGUUAUCCGGAUGUAUUGGGUGUAAAGGGCGCGUAGGCGGGAAUGCAAGUCAGAUGUGAAAACUCAGGGCUCAACCCUGCGCCUGCAUGUGAAACUGUUUUGCUUGAGUGCAGGAGAGGCAAUCGGAAUUCCGUGUGUAGCGGUGAAAUGCGUAGAUAUACGGAGGAACACCAGUGGCGAAGGCGGAUUGCUGGACAGUAACUGACGCUGAGGCGCGAAAGCGUGGGGAGCAAACAGGAUUAGAUACCCCGGUAGUC